rnacentral:rRNA from 1 species
AGGAAUAUUGGACAAUGGGCGCAAGCCUGAUCCAGCCAUGCCGCGUGCAGGAUGACGGUCCUAUGGAUUGUAAACUGCUUUUGUACAGGAAGAAACACUCCCUCGUGAGGGAGCUUGACGGUACUGUAAGAAUAAGGAUCGGCUAACUCCGUGCCAGCAGCCGCGGUAAUA